rnacentral:lncRNA from 1 species
GAAGUUCAUCGAGGUGCCAAGUGGGAAGAGCCUUCUUGCCUCAGUAUGGGCAGCAGCACACUGCUAAAGAGCAGAAACCGGAAAGACAGGGCUUCUCUGGGUUACAUUCCUGGCUAUUCAGAAGUUCACUUUGUAGACCAAGUUGGCCUCAAAUCCAGAUACCCACCUCACUCUGCCUCGUGAGUGCGAUGAUUAAAGAAAAGGUUUAUCUGUGUAGCCCUGGCUGUCCUGAAACUUCCUUUGUAGACCAGGCCAGCCUUGAACUCAGAGGUCUGCCUACCUCUGCCUCCUGAGUGAUGUGAUUAAAGGUGUGUGCCACCAUGCCUGGCUGGAACAGUCGUAAACGGGAUAUCUUCAUCAAACUCCUCUUGUCAGGCACAUCGAACUGUAUCACCAGACAAAAACUUGGUACAGACAAGUGGAUUCAGAAACCCCUGCACUCUCAUACCUGGGGAUGGUAGGAGUUUCAUCUACCAGGUUCCCGUCCGGGAACACAUGACUAAAACACCCCAUGGAGAGGACCGUGACACAUAAGGGCAGUGACCAAAGCCCCUCCACAUACAGAUGAGGCAUCCGUAACAUUUCAGAGCAAGCCAAUAGAUAGCAUCUACUCACAGACCUCAACCCACACCAGAAUGUAUGUAAGACGCUGUCCACAAGGAAUAAAACACACGAGCUACUUCACCAAGAACUGUCUGAGACCCUCUGUCUUACAGAGCUGUAACACUUUGAGGACGAGAAUUCUC